GGGACACGUGGUAUCCUGUCUGAAUAUGGGGGGACCAUCCUCCAAGGCUAAAUACUCCUGACUGACCGAUAGUGAACCAGUACCGUGAGGGAAAGGCGAAAAGAACCCCGGCGAGGGGAGUGAAAAAGAACCUGAAACCGUGUACGUACAAGCAGUGGGAGCCUCUUAAUGGGGUGACUGCGUACCUUUUGUAUAAUGGGUCAGCGACUUAUAUUCUGUAGCAAGGUUAACCGAAUAGGGGAGCCGAAGGGAAACCGAGUCUUAACUGGGCGUUAAGUUGCAGGGUAUAGACCCGAAACCCGGUGAUCUAGCCAUGGGCAGGUUGAAGGUUGGGUAACACUAACUGGAGGACCGAACCGACUAAUGUUGAAAAAUUAGCGGAUGACUUGUGGCUGGGGGUGAAAGGCCAAUCAAACCGGGAGAUAGCUGGUUCUCCCCGAAAGCUAUUUAGGUAGCGCCUCGUGAAUUCAUCUCCGGGGGUAGAGCACUGUUUCGGCAAGGGGGUCAUCCCGACUUACCAACCCGAUGCAAACUGCGAAUACCGGAGAAUGUUAUCACGGGAGACACACGGCGGGUGCUAACGUCCGUCGUGAAGAGGGAAACAACCCAGACCGCCAGCUAAGGUCCCAAAGUCAUGGUUAAGUGGGAAACGAUGUGGGAAGGCCCAGACAGCCAGGAUGUUGGCUUAGAAGCAGCCAUCAUUUAAAGAAAGCGUAAUAGCUCACUGGUCGAGUCGGCCUGCGCGGAAGAUGUAACGGGGCUAAACCAUGCACCGAAGCUGCGGCAGCGACGCUUAUGCGUUGUUGGGUAGGGGAGCGUUCUGUAAGCCUGUGAAGGUGUGCUGUGAGGC
rnacentral:rRNA from 1 species